UGGUUAUCUAGCUGUAUGAGUGAUGUUCAUUCUUCAUAAAGCUAGAUAACCGAAAGUAACAAGAAUCCCAUUACACUCCUGAAAAGGCAUCAAGACCCCAAAAGCACCUCGCCGCGUCUGGAGGAGUGAGCUGGAGAGGCGAAGCAGCAGCGCUACAUCACAGACGGAAAGACUGAAAAACAGAGGAGGGGGGAGGAGGGGUCUGCCCUCCUUCUCUCCUCGCCCUCCUCUGCAUCGCCUCCUCCUCCUCCUCCUCCUCCUCCUCCUCCUCCGCUCCAUCCUCAGACGCAGCCCGCGCCACCAUCUUAGAGCAACACGGGCAAGAAAAGGAAAAGACCCCGUCAGAGCAGGCGACGCUGCACCAUGAGCCCCGACCGCCUCUCUGUUGGAGGAGGCCAGACUCCUGCUGCCCCCCCCCCCUGCUGUCCUGGACCCUCUCAGCUCUCUUCUUCUCUCUUCAGUGCUGAUGUGGAUCAUAACUGGGACUUUAGGAAACAGCUGUGGAGGACCAACUCUUCAAAAAAAAAAAAAAAAAAACGCUCAGUUUUGUAAAUAUUAUGUGUUAACAUUUAAAGCUUUGGUUCUCAACGGCUGGCUCGGGGCCCAAAAACGGGUCUGUGUGGUGACAGCAUGAAGCCUUCUGAACAGACCACUUCCUGUGACGACCCCUCUCAGGUUGAAUGGAUUUAUCAGAACUUGGAGUCGGGUCAUUAAAGGGGUCCAGGACCUGAUGGGUCCUGAUGGGUCCUGAUGCUCCACCAGCUGCACAUAUAUCUGGCCGACUGUCGCUGUGAGAGACGAUGCUGAAGACUGAGGAGGCGGGAAACAAACUCUCCUCCUCAUGUCGGCCAUCUUUGAUGUUUGUCUCUGUGACUUUAAAUAAUCUUUAUUUUGUAGACAGGAAGCAGCAUAACUUCCUCUGACCUGUAGCCCACGUUGGAUUUGUUUACUUUUAGUUGCUAGGACUCAAAGACGCGUGAAUGUGAGACCCACGGCAGCAGUGAAUAAUACUGCACUGUGAUUGGACGGCUCUUUGUGUCAGCUGACACAACGGCGAAGGAAUGAGCUGUCGUCUUUAUACUCUAUGCAACCGUCUUGAAUAUACCGACAGUGAAAGUGUGUGUCAGCCAGUUACACACACACACAAGUACACACACACACACACACACUCACCCGCGCACACACACACACACACACACACACACACACACACACACACACACACACACACACACACACACACACAAGGGAAGUGGUAAAUGUUUUUUCGAUAAUUUAUGCAAAUCUUUGAGACAAUCUUUGUCCGUGCAGUGUGCGGAGCUUUCUGAUUGGACGAGACGACCUUUGAUAAUCAUUUUCUUUUCUGCCUGGAUACGCUUGAAAUGACGCAGAAAAUUUCCGUCUUCUGAUUUCGUGAAAAAAAUGAAUGAUGCUCUAAACGUUUCUAUGCAGCUGAGCUCUGUGCACGCCACGGCGUCUAUGAGCAGCGUGUUGGUGCACGCCAUUGCGUCUAUGAGCAGCGUGUGUGGAUGUUCACCUCGUGUGCCUUUGUUUGUUCAAACUGUUGAAAAAUAAAGUUUACACUGAAAACAGGAAA